UGGGGAAUCUUGGACAAUGGGGGCAACCCUGAUCCAGCCAUGCCGCGUGUGUGAAGAAGGCCCUAGGGUUGUAAAGCACUUUCAAUUGGGAAGAAAAGCUGUACGUUAAUAGCGUGCAGCCCUGACAUUACCUUUAGAAGAAGCACCGGCUAACUCCGUGCCAGCAGCCGCGGUAAUACGGAGGGUGCGAGCGUUAAUCGGAAUUACUGGGCGUAAAGCGCGCGUAGGCGGUUGUUUAAGUCGGAUGUGAAAGCCCCGGGCUUAACCUGGGAACUGCAUUCGAUACUGGCCGACUAGAGUACGAGAGAGGGAGGUAGAAUUCCACGUGUAGCGGUGAAAUGCGUAGAUAUGUGGAGGAAUACCGGUGGCGAAGGCGGCUCACUGGCUCGAUACUGACGCUGAGGUGCGAAAAGUGUGGGGAGCAAAACAGGAUUAGAUACCCUGGUAGUCCACACCGUAAACGAUGAAUGCCAGUCGUCGGGUAGCAUGCUAUCGGUGACAGCACCUAACGGAUUAAGCAUUCCGCCUGGGAGUACGGUCGC
rnacentral:rRNA from 1 species